rnacentral:rRNA from 1 species
GAUGAACGCUGGCGGUAUGCCUUACACAUGCAAGUCGAACGAAAAUUAGCUUCGGUUAAUUUUAGUGGCGGACGGGUGAGUAACACGUGAGAAUUUGCCUUUAGGAGGGGGAUAACGAGUGGAAACAUUCGCUAAAACCCCAUAUGCCCACGGGUGAAAAAGAGGAAACUCUGCCUGAAGAGAAGCUCGCGGCUGAUUAGCUAGUUGGUAGGGUAAUGGCCUACCAAGGCGACGAUCAGUAGCUGGUCUGAGAGGACGAUCAGCCACACUGGAACUGAGACACGGUCCAGACUCCUACGGGAGGCAGCAGUGAGGAAUUUUCUGCAAUGGGCGAAAGCCUGACAGAGCAACACCGCGUGAGGGAUGAAGACUUACUGAGUUGUAAACCUCGGUGCCUUAAGGAAGAAGAUCUGACGGUACUUAAGGUGGAAAGCAUCGGCUAACUCCGUGCCAGCAGCCGCGGUAAGAC